AGUAAUAUAUCGGAACGUGCCCAGUAGUGGGGGAUAGCCCGGCGAAAGCCGGAUUAAUACCGCAUGAGACCUGAGGGUGAAAGCGGGGGCUUCGCAAGAACCUCGCGCUACUGGAGCGGCCGAUAUCAGAUUAGCUAGUUGGUGGGGUAAAGGCCUACCAAGGCAACGAUCUGUAGUUGGUCUGAGAGGACGACCAGCCACACUGGGACUGAGACACGGCCCAG
rnacentral:rRNA from 1 species